UCGGAAUAUAGCCGAGAACUCAGUAUCACUGCACGCAGCUGCAUAGAAUGGUGUAAAGGAUCGGUGGUCUGCACCACCGAGACGUGCAAAUGCAGAAAAACUAUGGUAUUCGUGGAAGUAAAUGUCACCCAAAACAGUAACAGUGGUCAGCGAAAUCUAAUCCAAAGCACGCAUCUCACGAGACUUUAACGAGAUUGUCAUUUUGAUUCUAUCACGACAAGUACACCACCUCGCUUCGAUUUAUUUUACAUCAAGCAUUUCAAAACAGCAUAAUGUAAGGGACGACAUCAAAAGUUCAAUGUAGGAUAAAAAACUUAAUUCACAUAGUGUUUUCACUGACACCCCCACCCCCCUCUUAACUUAAUUUAGGAAAAAUUGAUUUACCAAUAGGGAUAUAUGUAAAAAUCGAUUUUAAAUAUACAAAACUUGUAGAAUUUUAACCCCCCACCCC
rnacentral:lncRNA from 1 species